UACUCCCCUUUCUUCUUCCUUCCUUGCUUUCUUUCUUCUUCCCUUCCUUCUUUCUCUUCCUCGCUCCUUCUUUUUUACAAGCUGUUAUGAAUUAGCCUUCACAGAGAAAGAAAAAUUUUUAUAAAUAACUGGAAAUGAAACUUUGCAAAGGACUGCAGAUGAAAAACUUUGUCAAAUGACUGUAAAAAUAUACUAUAUAAUUUUCAAAAGUUAGAAAGUACCAAACACACUCAGUAUUCAUGGUUAUACAAGUAUGCAUACACAUGUAUUGCUCCCUGAAAAGUGGUGUUGUUAAGGGAGUUUUUCUUAGUACGCGGCUUAACAUAUUUUUUUCUGUAAUUUGUUGUUAGUUAUAAUGGGGAGAGAAAACAGGUUAGAGUCUCCCCUCUCAGUUUCACCUUCCAUAAAACAGCUAAACUAGACGAUCGUCAGACUCCUUCCAGCUGAAAACAUCUGUAAAAUUAAAAACAAAUCUAAAUGUAUGCAAGAUAUGUAUUUAAACAUGCUGGUAAUAAGUGUGCUGUCCCUAUAAUUUAGAUGCUAAAACAUUGAUGUCAUAAUAAUAACAACACCUCGCAUUUGUACAGCACCUCAUAGUUUACACAAUGCCUUAACAUUCUUCUCUCUCAGCCUCCUACAACCCCACAGGAUUGGGAUAGCUUUCCAGAUUGGGAGGUGAGGGACCCAGGCUCAGAGCGAUUCUGCUGUUGUCCGUAAUCACCAGGCUGGUGAUCAGUGGGCACUGGGUGCUCUCCUGCUACACAGCACUGUCUCUCAACAUGCAGGUCAAGGUUACUUAUUCCUCCUUCAAGACGUCAUUGGGUUUUUUAGCUAUGGAUGCCCCAUCACUUUUAGUUCUAUUUGUGAAUCAAAGGCUAAAUAAAGUAUUCCUCAAAAUUUGUUAUACUUCUGUUACUAAUGCUUAAUGUCCCUCACAAUUUCUGUAUAUUUCUGUGUAUUUCUGCUCUGUUUUGGUUCCUUUCCCAGGUUUCUUUUUUGUUAUGAAGUAGUUUUUAGACUCAAGUCUCUUCUGUAUGUGUUAUAACUGCCCAUUCCAUAAGAUACAGGGCAGUGAAUUUGUGAGCCUUGAAAAUAUUUACUUUAGAAAUGAGAAGUAUGACUUUUCAACGUUGUGUCAUCAACUUCUGUAAAUUUUCCAGACCUAUAAAUACUUGCAGAAAAAAAAUGAAAGGAGAAGGCAACUUGAUUUAGCAGUUGGGUCAGUUAGCAAUGCCUAUGGCAAGCUGUAGUAAUUCCCUUACAUAGAUUUGUAAGACUCAUUUCUAUGAUUUAAAUGAAGGCAUACACUUAACCUCUUUAGGGUGUGAAACAGCUUUUACAAAAAGAGACAAACUUAAGAAACAGUGUGGCCCUCCAAGAGUGUUCAUUUUCCAUAUCAUACCAUUUGUAAUAAGCUAUUCUGGCUGGGAUUUACUUGCAAGCAUUGGCUUUUAAGAAGAGAUGGUUUCACACAUCAAAUUAUUCACUUGGAGGCACUUUCUGGGUUGAAGGAAUGGAAUGGAGAGUGCGGCAGUGAGUAGAUCUCUCAGUGACGGUGAUGUGCCUCUCCCAGAAGAAAUUUCAAAAUGCAGUGUUCAUUUUCCUCCACAAGAAAGGAAGAAACUGUUUUGUUAUUGUUUAUUCCUAACAUAGUGGAAACUUUUCAGUACUCUGGCAGAAAUUUCCCAAAAGCAAUUUUCUAUUUCAUGAUUAUAAAGUAGCAAAGGAAAAAGUCCUGCACUCCAGCUGAGCAAUGGAUCUCCAGUUGUUAUCUAGGUGCUGCAGGUUUAGAGAGGAUUGCCAGGAGAACACAUCGAUUUUUCAGGCCUGUGAUGACGUAUCUCUUGUUGAAUAAGUAAACCCUUCCAGUAAACAGACAGUUAGUAUAUUGAUUUCAGGGUGGCUUUAGCCACUGAACCUGUAAGUCUUGCAAAGGUUACUUGGGCAAAAGCAUCAUUAUUUUACCUUCAGUCAACAAAAAUCUACCUGGCCAAGGCAGAACAGAAAGUUCAGCAAUUUGAUGAAGUGGGACAACAUGAAGAAUCAGUUAAUGAUCCUUUGCCUGGACUUUCUAAGUGCCCAGAAGAGCAACAGCCAGCAUGCAGGAUGGCAUUCCUGACCAGUUGCACUUGGCCUAGCAUUCCAACCUCACCUGCCUCAGCUUGUUCAACCUGAAAACCUACCAAGUGAAAGCAAGAGCCACGUGAAGACGCCUUAGUUAUAUGCACCCACCCAGACACUUGCUCAGAAAGGAAUCAGUGGGGCCCUGGCCUUAGAAACUGGCUCCUUCACUGCUGUAGAAACAACAUAAAUUUAACAUAAAACACGUGCUUUUCUUUUUUCUUCUUACUUUUUCCUGUCUUGGCAAUGCAAGGAUGCCAUUAGGUAAAGAAAUCCUUCACCACACUAAUCCUGCAGAGCCAGAAGAGAAACCAGCUUGUUCUAACCCAGCUUUGUCAUGGAGAGAAGGCAGCUGCUCCAGUCUGAACUAUUCUUUCUUUUGGUAGCAGCCUGCCCAAGGGUGAAAGUGUGUUUAAUAGUUUGAAUUACACAAGUGAACAGUAAAUGUAUGCCUGUUUCUGCUUUAUGGGACUUUGAAAUAAUGUUGUUUGUGCCAAGGUUUUAGAUUACUAUACCUAACAACCUAGAAAAAGAAAUGAAAAGGAAGCCUUCUGCCAGGCAGAGGUCACUACGGGCCUGGAGCUGGGCACCUGACUCAGCAGCUGCCCAGAUCCCCAGAGCUGAGAAGUCACCAUGCAUUUGUGGUGCUUCGAGCGAGUUACCAGAGUCCUGGAACAGAGCAGCACACCUGCGGGGUGUCCCCUUGGCAUUUGGGCAGGGCAGGUGACCAAGGGUCUUGUUGGAACUGAAGUCCAGCUUGAAAAGCAAAUCUGGUUGUGAGCUAGAGUCCAGUAACACUUGUUUCCCGCCGCCCCCCGCAUAACUCGUGUGUCCUAAAAUACAAUAAUUUCUUGAACUUCAGUCACUUAUGCCUAUAAGCGGGCAUACAACAGGGGCACAAUAAAUGUUUGUUAAGUGAAUGAAUUCUUUCAGAACUAGAUGGGAUCUUAGUCCAACUCUCUUAUUUAACGAGGUCCACAGAGGUUCUGCGAUUGUCUAAGAAAGAAGGCUGUGUUCAUGGCCUUUGUUGUUUACGUGGCCCUGUGAUUCUCUUGGCUCCGUGAAAGUCCUGAUGCAGACAUUCCGGCCAUCUAGAAAGGCAUGCAGACAAGCCAUCCAGCUGGCAUGAUCCUGAGUCCAGCUUUCUUUAAAAGAGCUUCCAAAACUGCUUAAGCUUUGACUGCACAAAACCUGCAUCACCUCCAGUUGAGAAACUCAAGAGAAUAAGUAAGUUAUGGAGUUGGAGACCCCAGCUUAACUACUAGUUUUAAAAUAGUGAAAUCAACAUUUUCAAAUCUUUGACUUCACUAAGAUUUAAUAAAGUUUAUUAAUC
rnacentral:lncRNA from 1 species